rnacentral:rRNA from 1 species
GAUCAUGGCUCAGAUUGAACGCUGGCGGCAGGCCUAACACAUGCAAGUCGAGCGGAUGAGAAGAGCUUGCUCUUCGAUUCAGCGGCGGACGGGUGAGUAAUGCCUAGGAAUCUGCCUAUUAGUGGGGGACAACGUUUCGAAAGGAACGCUAAUACCGCAUAAUACAGUGAAGACACAUGUUUUAUUGUUAAAGCUCCGGCGGUUAAAGAUGGGCAUGCGUAGGAUUAGCUAGUUGGUAAGGUAACGGCUUACCAAGGCGACGAUCCUUAGGGGUUCUGAGAGGAAGGUCCCCCACACUGGUACUGAGAUACGGACCAGACUCCUACGGGAGGCAGCAGUAGGGAAUAUUGGUCAAUGGGCGCAAGCCUGAACCAGCCAUGCCGCGUGCAGGAAGAAUGCCCUCUGGGUUGUAAACUGCUUUUGACAGGGAAGAAAUCACUUAUGCGUAAGUGUCUGACGGUACCUGUAGAAUAAGCACCGGCUAACUCCGUG